GUCAAAACAUGGCCGACCCAAAAUAAUUCCUGAGUUUUUCCCUUGAUUGCAGGACUUUAGCAGAGAGGAUAGAGUGAUGAGGCCAAACACAUGGCUUUCAAGCACCUAAUUGACUUUGAUGUAAACAAACUUGAACGCCUUGCUGGAUGGUUGACGGGUCACAUGUGUGUUUGACGGCAAUGGAGCUCCAAGGGCAGCACACUUCAUGGAAGUGGUCCAUGAUUCAUCCUGUGUAUGGCGGAGUAGAUC